rnacentral:rRNA from 1 species
CUACGGGUCGCUCCAGUGAGGAAUAUUGCACAAUGGGGGGAACCCUGAUGCAGCAACGCCGCGUGGAGGAUGACGCAUUUCGGUGUGUAAACUCCUUUUAUAUGUCAAGAAAAUGACGGUAGCAUAUGAAUAAGCACCGGCUAACUCCGUGCCAGCAGCCGCGGUAAUACGGAGGGUGCAAGCGUUACUCGGAAUCACUGGGCGGAAAGGACGCGUAGGCGGGUUGGAAAGUCAGGUGUGAAUUCCUACAGCUUAACUGUAGAACUGCACUUGAAACUUCUAAUCUAGAGUAUGGGAGGGGGAGAUGGAAUUAGUGGUGUAGGGGUAAAAUCCGUAGAUAUCACUAGGAAUACCUAAAGCGAAGGCGAUCUCCUGGAACAUUACUGACGCUAAGGCGUGAAAGCGUGGGGAGCAAACAGGAUUAGAUACCCGUGUAGUC